CAGAACUUCUGCAGAUGUCAGCCAGGGGAGCUGAUGAAGAAGUCUGUAGAGGCUGAACAGAAAAGUCUCACCUGAGUCAAAGGGCCUGGGAACAAUAUGCUUCCUCCUGCUGUGACUGACAGCUCAUGGCCUCAAGGCAGCCGGCUCCGCCUCCAGAAUGUGAUCCACUCCCUUCAGCCACCACUCAUCGUCCAAUCAGCUCAGCCCCUUAUCAGCCACCACUCUGCACCUUAUCUGUUCCAGCUGUUGCAAUCAGUUAGUGCCAACUCUG